GAGGUCACACCCGUUCCCAUACCGAACACGGAAGUUAAGCUCUUCAGCGCCGAUGGUAGUCGGGGGUUUCCCCCUGUGAGAGUAGGACAUCGCCAGGC
rnacentral:rRNA from 1 species